CCUACGGGAGGCAGCAGUGGGGAAUAUUGCACAAUGGGCGAAAGCCUGAUGCAGCAACGCCGCGUGAGUGAUGAAGGCCUUCGGGUUGUAAAGCUCUGUCAUUUGGGACGAACAAAGACGGUACCAAAGGAGGAAGCCACGGCUAACUACGUGCCAGCAGCCGCGGUAAU
rnacentral:rRNA from 1 species